CCCUUUCGUUAGCCUAAAUUCCUUAAACUAAGUCGUAGAGCUUCAAGCGUUUGAGGCGCCUGAUGUCUAGUGAGCUAUCAAGCAGUUGUUUUGCAGCUGCAUUGGUGUGCAACUCUAGUCUAUUUACAUGUUUGUUAGCGAACUUACUGAUUUCGUCCUGGAUGAAUGGUAUCUUGAGAUCACGAUGUAUGACGUCAUUCCUGUCGAUCCGGUAUGCUGCGACAAUGGUCCGAAGGGCAAUAUUUUGACAACGUUCAAUGAUUUGAAUGUUAGAUUUGCUGGCACAACCAAUUUGAUUAAAAAUGUGUUUUUUUUUUUUUUUAUCAAUAUUAUAUAUUCCAAUCGACCGACUUAUUUGAUACCUUACACAUAAUUUGAUAUUGGGUAAAAAUAUUAUUGUAUACUUAUUUUAUUAUUAUGUUUAUUAUAGUAUAUGGUUAUCGUUGACUAAUACUUACAUAGCUUAUUUCUUGUAUUUGUAUAAUGUACAAAGACUGACUAGCAAACCGUACCUAUAGGUAUUCUAGACGGCCCCAAAUUCUGUGUAAUAUGGUAAGCGAAUUGUUUUUAGUUGAAUAUAUCAAUAUAUAAUAAUAAAACGCGCUAUGAUAUUCACAACAUAUAUUUUUAACUAUUUGUAAGUUGGAAAUUUUUCACUUUCCCAGAAUAUAUCCAGGCAUCGUCAUAAACCUAAUAAAAUAUGAUAAAAUUACCAAUGUGUAUAUUGCGAAUCAAU